UCAUCUGCUGUGGGAUGUUUCACCUGGGCUCUGGACUGCGAUGCUACAAGUGCUCAGAUUACACCGGCCGCUGUCAGAACGUCCAGGAGUGUACCUACGAGGACUCCUGCAUGUCUCUGAGUGAGCGAGGUGGGAAAACCAUCCGUCAGUGCAUCAGGUACACGGACUGUGAUAAUUCCCGCCUCAGCCAGAUGUUUCCGGCCAUUUCCGCCUUCACGUAUCGCUGCUGCAGCAGCAACUUGUGCAACUCCAGCAGCGCAGCUCAGAUGUCAACACCGGUCCUGGCACUGCUGGGGUCUCUGAUGAGUGUGUGGUGGUGUUGGACCUGAACAUGGUACAAACUAACAGGCUAACACACGACUGUUAACGUUAACGUUGGAGAAGCUAACGUCCACUAACUGUUUGUUUUUACUCGAGGCUCGUUCCUGUACUCAGCUUUUAUCGAGCGACCUGGACCACAGUUCCCAUGGCUCCCAACGGCAUGACGUCACCGAAAAAUCCUUUGUUUUUGUUUUUUUUACGUGCUAAUGAAAAUAAAAUUACGGCUGUGGGUGGAGAGCGGAUAGGGUUGUGCCAAAAGCAGGGCAGUGUCUUCCUGCCUAAUAUUUCAGUUGCUGCCGAAGACUUCGCCUGACAUAAACUGGAUUAUAUCCGUUCCGGAGGUUUGUGUUUAAG